UUGGAUGUCUGUAGUUUACAGGUAUGCUAUUACAACUAAUCGUUUUGCUCUGAAAAUAACCAUAUUUUAUAAUUUCUAUGGCUUUUUUAAACAACUUCUUGAUUUGUAUGUCUAUUUUGAAUUCUGAUUUAGGUGGCUCUAUGAUUUCAAUUCUCGUGAGUACUUUUACGAUGGUUCAUCAUAUGGCACCCAACAUACCCUUCAAAACUUCUGAGGAUAUCUUCAAUGAAAUUAGACUACAUUUUCAAUUAUCCUUUUCUUUGACAUUUUGAUGACAAACACCAUAUAGUUUAACCAUCUGAUUAUGAAAUGAAAGUAUUCCAUCGAGGUGCAUUUCUGGUCAUGGUCAUGUAUUAUGUUAAAGUCCUUUAACCUAGAAGAUGAAAAUAGAUGAAUGUUUUCCUUUAUCUCGAUUAAUGCCUCAACUUUCUGGACAACACCAUCAAUAUAAACCUAAAAAGAUAUCACCCUUGGUUCUCUCUUGAUUUAGCAGAGAUAGUUCAUCUGUUAAGUUUGUUUUGGUAAAUAACAAUAAACCUUGCCCAAAUAUUCAUCUCACUUAUAGCUCACUCAAAUGUUGCAUCAAGAAUUUUGAUUGUAUUUGUAUCAUAUUUAAGUGCUUUACAGGUUCACUAUAUAAACCAAGUUCGAGCUCUCUUUCUCCUAUAUAAAAUAAACGCAAUGAAUCAUAUUGUUGCAAUGUGUUUUGUUGUGUAUUUUAUACUAAGCUCCAUCCAACUGCUAUGAAGUCUUCCAAAGUAAGCAGAGUUAUUGUCAUUCCCUUAUCUUGCUUUCUUAUAUAUAGUAACAUACAACAGGAGGCCUUUUUCUGAUUUUUCACGU
rnacentral:lncRNA from 1 species